rnacentral:rRNA from 2 species
AACGCUGGCGGCGUGCUUAACACAUGCAAGUCGAACGAUGAAAGAGAAUCCGAUCUCUUCGGAGUGAAGAAUCUCUGGAUUAGUGGCGGACGGGUGAGUAACGCGUGAGCAAUCUGCCUUACACAAAGGGAUAGCCUCGUGAAAACGGGAUUAAUACCAUAUGAUAUCUAUUGGCCGCAUGGUAGAUAGAUUAAAGAAUUUCGGUGUAAGAUGAGCUCGCGUCCCAUUAAUUAGUUGGUGAGGGUAACGGCCCACCAAGAUAGCGAUGGGUAGCCGAUCUAAGAGGAUGACCGGCCACAUUGGAACUGAGAAACGGUCCAAACUCCUACGGGAGGCAGCAGUGGGGAAUAUUGCACAAUGGGGGAAACCCUGAUGCAGCGACGCCGCGUGAGCGAUGAAGGCUUUCGAGUCGUAAAGCUCUGUCCUAUGGGAAGAUAAUGACGGUACCAUAGAAGAAAGCCCCGGCUAAUUACGUGCCAGCAGCCGCGGUAA